GACUUGGUAGCUCCGUUGGUAGAGCACUGCACCGGUAUCGCGGUUCGAAUCCCGUCCAAGCCU
rnacentral:tRNA from 1 species